GACGAACGCUGGCGGCGUGCCUAAUACAUGCAAGUCGAACGCUUUUUCUUUCACCGGAGCUUGCUCCACCGAAAGAAAAAGAGUGGCGAACGGGUGAGUAACACGUGGGUAACCUGCCCAUCAGAAGGGGAUAACACUUGAAAACAGGUGCUAAUACCGUAUAACACUAUUUUCCGCAUGGAAGAAAGUUGAAAGGCGCUUUUGCGUCACUGAUGGAUGGACCCGCGGUGCAUUAGCUAGUUGGUGAGGUAACGGCUCACCAAGGCAACGAUGAAUAGCCGACCUGGGAGGGUGAUCGGCCACACUGGGACUGAGACACGGCCCAGACUCCUACGGGAGGCAGCAGUAGGAAAUCUUCGGCAAUGGACGAAAGUCUGACCGAGCAACGCCGCGUGAGUGAAGAAGGUUUUCGGAUCGUAAAACUCUGUUGUUAGAGAAGAACAAGGAUGAGAGUAGAACGUUCAUCCCUUGACGGUAUCUAACCAGAAAGCCACGGCUAACUACGUGCCAGCCGCCGCGGUAA
rnacentral:rRNA from 1 species